AUUGAACGCUGGCGGCAGGCCUAACACAUGCAAGUCGAGCGAGCGGCGGACGGGUGAGUAAUGUAUGGGGAUCUGCCCGAUGGAGGGGGAUAACUACUGGAAACGGUGGCUAAUACCGCAUACUAUCGGAUGAACCCAUAUGGGAUUGGCUAGUAGGGAGGGUAAAGGCUCACCUAGGCGACGAUCUCUAGCUGGUCUGAGAGGAUGAUCAGCCACACUGGGACUUGUACACGGCCCAGACUCCUACGGGAGGCAGCAGUGGGGAAUAUUGCACAAUGGGGGCAAGCCUGAUGCAGCCAUGCCGCGUGUUUGAAGAAGGCCUUCGGGUUGUAAAGUACUUUCAGCGGGGAGGCGUUACCCGCAGAAGAAGCACCGGCUAACUCCGUGCCAGCAGCCGCGGUAAUUC
rnacentral:rRNA from 1 species